rnacentral:rRNA from 1 species
GCAUGCGAUCAUACCAGCACUAAAGCACCGGAUCCCAUCAGAACUCCGCAGUUAAGCGUGCUUUGGCGAGAGUAGUACUAGGAUGGGUGACCCCCUGGGAAGUCCUCGUGUUGCAUCCC